UGCUCUGUCAUAUAAGGGUUAGUAUCCUGGACUUUGAAUCCAGUCAUCUGAGUUCGAAUCUCAGCAGAGCAA
rfam:Polysphondylium pallidum PN500 unplaced genomic scaffold PPL_scaffold1, whole genome shotgun sequence.